AAAAUGCGAUAAGUAAUGUGAAUUGCAGAAUUCAGUGAAUCAUCGAAUCUUUGAACGCACAUUGCGCCCGCCAGUAUUCUGGCGGGCAUGCCUGUUCGAGCGUCAUUUCAACCCUCAAGCCCCCGGGUUUGGUGUUGGGGAUCGGGCUGCGGUUCUACCGCGUCCCGGCCCCGAAAUCUAGUGGCGGUCUCGCUGCAGCCUCCAUUGCGUAGUAGCUAACACCUCGCAACUGGAACGCGGUGCGGACCGGUGCCUGCUUGACUUUUCUGAUUAUCCAGGUUGACCUCGGAUCAGGUAGGGAUACCCGCUGAACUUAAGC
rnacentral:misc_RNA from 1 species